rnacentral:sRNA from 1 species
GAUCUGCUGUCGCCGCCGCUCUGCACGCUGCCGCCGGGCCCCGAGCCGCCCCGCUUCGUGUGCUACUGCGAAGGGGAGGGAAGCGGGGAGGGGGACCGCGGCGGCUUCAACCUCUAAAAGCCCGUUUUGGCCUGAGUGCGGCUGAGGACAUCACCCCCCGGUUCAGGUGAGACCCAAGCAGGGAGGAAGGGUGGGUGGGGAGGAGGAGGGUCUGCCACAGCUCUCAGCACCUCUCCUUUCCCAGGGCAGCCUGUGAGCAGCAAGCUGUGGCUCUGACCCUGCAUGAGGACAGAGCAUCCCUGACGCUUUCAGGGGGGCCCUCGGCACUGGCCUUUGACCUCUCCAAGGUACCAGGCCCAGAGGCAGCCCCCAGGCUGCAGGCGCUGACACUGGGCCUGGCAAAACGCGUGUGGAGCCUGGAGCGGCGACUGGCAGCUGCAGAAGAGACAGCUGCCAGCCCCAGGAAGAGCCCCCGGCCUGCAGGGCCUCAGCUCUUCUUACCAGACCCAGAUCCUCAGAGAGGUGGCCCUGGACCUGGAGUCAGGAGGCGGUGUCCGGGAGAGUCGCUCAUCAACCCCGGGUUCAAGAGUAAGAAACCAGCUGGUGGUGUGGACUUUGAUGAGACCUGAAGGCGCAGCACAAGUGUGGCCCCGCGGGGAGUCCGCCUGUGAGGCGAGAGGCAGUCUUCGAGGCCCCCAUCAGAGA